AGAUGCCAAGGACAGGUUCCGUGAUAGGCAGAACAAUGCCUCUGAAGAUGCCCCUCUCCUCAUCUCUGGAAACUGUGAGUGUGUUAAGUUUACAUGGCAAAGAAGAAUCAAGGGUGCAGAUGGAAUUAAUGUUGACAAUCAACUGGCUUUACAAUAGGGAGACGAGCCUGGAUUAUCCAGGUGGAACCAGUGUAAUCACCAGAGUGCUUAAAAAUGGAGGAGGGAGUUAGAAAAAGGGAAAGUCAAAGGGAGAUGUGUCAAGGGAAGAACGGUCAGAGAAAUGCAAUGUUGCUGGCUUUGAUAAUGGAAGAAAGAUGCCUCUGAAAACUGGGGAAACCAAGAAAUGGAUUCUUCCAUGGAGUCCCAGAAAGGAAUGCACACUUGUUGAUACCUUGAUUUUAGAACUCCUGACUUCUAGAACUUAGAGGAAACCUAUGGCAUUUUGAUUGAAAAGCUUAAGAUUCACUGGUCUGGGAUUCCAGCCUGAGAGUCAGAAGAAUGGUAUUUUUUGUUUGUUUGUUUGAAAUUCCAAAUGUCUGACUUAAGAUGUAAGACGGAAGCUUAGAGAAGAAUCUGCAACUGAAGUCUUAAACAGAGCAACUGAAGCAACUGAAGCCAGAAACAGAGCUGGGACUUAAAUCCAGAUCAGUCUGGCUCUAAGGAGUGUAUUCCUUAUCAUCUGCCAUACUGCCUGUGAGAUGCCUGUGGGACCAUCUUGGAGAGAUGCCCAAUAGGCAGCAGAAAAUAAGUCUGGAAUCCAAGAUUAGGUAUGAAUGUGGCCAUUGAGUUGAACUGAAGACAAAGGGAAUGACUUGUCACUUUGGAUGAAUUUAAGUGACGGAUACCUCACGACAGAAAAGACAAGGAAGUAUGCUACCAUAAUUGAUGUCAAGGUCCAGGAACAUAUUGGUCAUCCGUUAUGGUUGAGUUGUUACCGUCUCCAAUCAGGUGACCCACUCUGAGACAAGUGUGACCGAUAAGAAUGUUUUCUUUAUAGUUUUCCAUACAUUGUAGCUGCCUUCUACAUGUUGAACCCUUUAAUGAUCCUCCAAACCACCUUCCCUCUUUUGGGGAUAAUACUGUGUGGAAAUACUUGAAUCUGGACUAGCACUCACUGUGCACCAGUGCUAUAUAGAAAAAAAAAUCAGCAUCAGAGUCCUGGUCUGCUGGAAGCUCAGACCCUAUCGCCAGCUGGGAUCAGGGCUCUGUACCCUUGAUCUUAAGAUGAAUAAAGUAAAGUAUGAAAAUAAAGAAUGUAUCUUUUA